UUCGUUAGCGUCAUCAGGCUUUAGCUCCCUUACUAGGUCUUCAGAGUGUAUGAUACUGCAAGAUAUAGGAAUGUGCAAAACAACGCAAGGGAUGGAUAGAAAACCUAACAGAAUUUUUAAAAGAUAGAAAAGCUGAGGAAACUGAGGUAGGCAGAAGUUAAGUGACUUGCCCUGGGUGCUCUGGCUAUUAAGCAUCUGAUGCCAAAUUGGAACUGCAACUGCAGACACAUCUACUGUGCCACCUAACUGCAAGAGAAUGGGUCUGGGACUUCAUCAGGAUAGGGAAUUUCCAGGAGCAAAAUGAAUGACUGGAUACAAAGAGAACCGAAGCACGUUCCUCCCUCCAUAUACAAAUCAGCUUUAUGUUGCAGUACUUGGCAGAGGUAUUUCCUUGUGCUCAUAAAUAUUUCACAGGUAAAUUUGUUCCUUGCCAGUUAAAAAAUUCUUGCAUACUGAUAGUUGACAUCACAGGUGUGUUGACAUCGCCUUAAGAAUUAGUGAAAAAAUAUGACUUUCAUAGAAAGCACACCUUUCAUUAGCCUCUUCUAUUUCUGGUCACAAAGACUUUCUCUGACCUCAUUCUAUAGACUAUCAGCACAAAGGUAGGUAAAUAUAUUAGUAGCUCUGAAGAAUUUCUCUCUUUAUUUCAUGUUAACUAAUAAAGACAUUCAAAUUCCAAUGUGAAUGUGGGAAGAAGAAGGUUAUUUGCUCCUCCUAUUUCUUUGUAAAGAACAUAUUUGAUUUUCAGAACAAGGGAAAGAAUUCUUUGAAAACAAGGGAACUUACAAACCCUCCAGUGUCCACAAUCAUAUAUCUUGCACUUUUCUCUUAGCUACAAAGUUUGUUAUAUGAGACUGUUGUUUUUUCCUUAACGACCAAACUUUCUUUCCCACAAAAUAUGGGAAUCGUCCCAGGUAAAUGGGCAUUUUUGAUAGCAGAACUUUAGACUAGAUCUCAAGUUUCACAAAACUGUUUUUUUUUUCUUCUUCUAGAAGCAAUUAGCCAAGGCCAUAUUUGUUUAGCAAUUAAAAAAAAACUUGCUUGCAGAAGCUUUUAAAUAUUAUGUAAUUUAAAAAAAUAUGCUACGAGUAUAUAUGCGUUUUCUGGCCUCCAGCUUAAAUACAGUGAGGGUUGUAGUUGGUUGCACAGGAAUUGUCUGAAGAACAUUACAGCAAGGCAAACACGAUUGUAUUCCAACUAAAAUGGCUCUCUUUAUACCGUGUAUUGAAACUUGAUAACUGUUGGUUAUAAAAUUCCUUUGAUUUUCUGUAGGUAAUAAAAUACUUUGGCAAUUACUAUUGACAGUUCUGGAUAAUCUUGAAGGCUGCCUUGCCUGAAGAAGAUGAGUGUUACAAAUCACUUCACUGAAAGAGGGAAGAACAGCAGCGGGCAGCAGACAGGUUUCAAUUUCACAAUGCUGAUUAUCUCAUUCGCGAUUCCAUGCAUGCCUAAAUCUGAGAAUCCCUCAAGCAGCUAUAUGGACUUCUACUUUUAAAAUGCCUAUUACGCUUUCAUACUUUCUCCUGCUUCCUGAAGAGUGCCAUUUCGCCAAGCUUAAAUAGCAGAAAAUUGCAAUGCUUUUUCCUCUGCCCAUCUCCUCAAUCUCUAUUAACCUGCACAAGAACAAAGGAGUAUGAUGGUCCGGCUAUAGGCUGGGAAAUAGGUUUGAAGUUGUUUUUCAUUUACUGGUUCCCAUCUUUUUGAUUCAUCAAUGCAUUUACAACAAUAACCUUCUUUUCAUACCUAAGCAAAUUACUGAAAACACAUUCUUCUCCCCCCCCCACCAAAUAUGUAAACGCAUUUAUUUUCAUGUAUCUGGAGGAGCCUGCACACACGUACACGCACACACACACACACACACACACACACACACACAUUUAUUAUUUACAUCAACACCAAGUGAGAGCAUGUGGCUUUUAGAAUGCGUCAUGAUUUAAAUAAAAGUGAUAAAGGUGAAAA